AUGGAACGCAUGGAAACUAAAGACCUUCAAGGUAAACUGAAGGCAUGCCUAGAGGACAAGAAGUACUUGAUCGUACUGGAUGAUGUUUGGGCUCCAGAAGCUGUCAAUGACAUAUUUGGAGCACUUGUUCAAAAUCUGAAGAGGAGUAGAGUGCUCGUGACAACACGCAUCGAUGAGGUAGCCAACCAUGCUCUCCAAGACCGGAGAAUAACACUUGAAGCUCUAUCAAAAGAUGACUCAUGGGAACUCUUCUGUAAAAUGGGCUUUUCGAGAGAUACAAAUUAUAAAUGCCCCAUUGAACUGGCAAAAUUGGCACGGGGAAUCGUUAGCAAGUGUAAAGGCAUACCUCUUGCAAUUGUCACUGUUGGCAGGCUCCUCUUCGUGCGCGACAAGACCAGAGAGCAAUUUAAGCGACGUGACCAGCUUGAUUGGGAGCUAGCUAACCAUCCAAGCAUGGAACACGUGAGGAAUAUUCUUUAUUUGAGCUUCAUCUAUCUUCCGACAUCCUUGAAAAGUUGUUUCCUGUACUGUAGCUUAUUUCCAGAAGACUAUCUUUUCCAUAGGAAAAAGCUUGCACGGUUAUGGAUAGCAGAGGGUUUCAUCGAGGAGAGGGGUGUAAGCACAUUAGAAGAAGUGGCAGAAGGAUAUAUGGAGGAAUUGGUACACAGAAACAUGCUACAACUUGUUGAAAGAAACUCAUUUGGUAGGAUAAAGAAAAUCAGAAUGCAUGAUAUCCUACGUGAAUUGGCAGUUCAUUUGUGUCAAAGUGAUUGUUUUGGUGUUACAUAUGAGGAAAACAAAUAUGGGAGGUCUCCUCAGAAUGAUGGGCGUCGAUUGGUAGUACACAAACUAAAGAAGGACAUUGAACAAUCAAUUUCAAGUAUACACCAUCUUCGAUCAUUCAUUGCGUUGGACAAUAGUAUGCCAUCAGUCAGUAUACUACCUCAGCUUUCUGAGAAGUCAAGAUUUAUGACUGUGCUAGAAUUAAGUGGCCUACCUAUAUUGAAGAUUCCAUAUGCUAUCGGGGAUCUUUUCAAUCUUCGGUAUUUGGGUUUGGGUAAUUCAAAAGUGAAGAUGCUCCCAGAGUCUAUUGGUAAGCUCUCAAAUUUGUUGACACUGGACCUUCAUAAUUCUGACAUACAAAAGUUGCCUAGUGGGAUUGUGAACCUGAAGAAGCUCAGACACUUAUUUGCUCAGAAAUUCAAUGAUCCAUCUGGUAGAGUUCUCCGGUGGUCUAGUGGUGUAAGCAUCCGCAAGGGUCUUGGUAACCUAACAAACCUGCAUACACUACAAGCGUUGGUACUAGAGGAUGAGUCUGUUAGACAACUGGGGGAGUUGAGGCAACUGAGAAGCCUGAGGUUAUUGAAUGUGAAGAGAAUAUACUGUGGGCACCUGUGCAAGUCCCUAGUUCAGUUGGAAUUUUUGUCCACCCUAUUUGUGAAUGCAGGUGAUGAAAACGAGCUUCUCCGGUUGAAUGCCCUCCCGGAAAACCUGCGAAAGCUGGGUUUGAGAGGACUGUUAGACGUAGAGACGUUACACGAGUCUUGUCUCUUCCAAGCUGGAGGUCCAAACUUGUAUUCAGUGGGUCUUUAUUGGUCAGGUCUGAAAGAAGACCCCCUACCAUUCCUUUCUCGGUUGACAAAUUUGACAGAGCUAAAUUUCACCGCAGCAUAUAAGGGAGAGCAGUUGAUAUUUCGCAAGGAGUGGUUCCCCAACCUGAAGGCUCUUCAGUUACGAGACCUUCCUCAUCUGAAGCGUCUCGAGAUAGAGGAAGGUGCUAUGGCGACUCUGGAAAAAUUAUUCCUGAUCAAGCUUAACAGGUUGAUGGAGGUCCCACCUGGCAUUAAGUUCCUCAUGAACCUCCAGUAUGCAGGCUUUCACGAAAUCACCACUGAAUUUUUGGCGUUGCUGCGUGACUGUCCUAGAAUUGGUGGUAUGAGCCGGUUUGUGUAUACUCUCCAAGCUUGA
rnacentral:rRNA from 1 species